UACCAGACUCCUACGGGAGGCAGCAGUGGGGAAUAUUGCACAAUGGGGGAAACCCUGAUGCAGCGACGCCGCGUGAGCGAUGAAGUAUUUCGGUAUGUAAAGCUCUAUCAGCAGGGAAGAAGAUGACGGUACCUGACUAAGAAGCCCCGGCUAACUACGUGCCAGCAGCCGCGGUAAUACGUAGGGGGCAAGCGUUAUCCGGAUUUACUGGGUGUAAAGGGAGCGUAGACGGCGAUGCAAGCCAGAUGUGAAAGCCCGGGGCUCAACCCCGGGACUGCAUUUGGAACUGUGUGGCUGGAGUGUCGGAGAGGCAGGCGGAAUUCCUAGUGUAGCGGUGAAAUGCGUAGAUAUUAGGAGGAACACCAGUGGCGAAGGCGGCUUACUGGACAGUAACUGACGUUGAGGCUCGAAAGCGUGGGGAGCAAACAGGAUUAGAUACCCCGGUA
rnacentral:rRNA from 1 species